CAGUCGCCGCGGGAAAACCAAGGGUGCAAGCGUUACUCGGAAUUACUGGGCGUAAAGCGUGCGUAGGUGGUUGUUUAAGUCUGCUGUGAAAGCCCUGGGCUCAACCUGGGAAUUGCAGUGGAUACUGGGCGACUAGAGUAAGGUAGAGGAUAGUGGAAUUUCCGGUGUAGCAGUGAAAUGCGUAGAGAUCGGAAGGAACAUCUGUGGCGAAGGCGACUAUCUGGGCCAUUACUGACACUGAGGCACGAAAGCGUGGGGAGCAAACAGGAUUAGAUACCCCAGUAGUCCCUGUCUCUUAUAC
rnacentral:rRNA from 1 species